rnacentral:rRNA from 1 species
UACGUAGGCAGCGAGCGUUGUUCGGAGUUACUGGGCGUAAAGAGUGCGUAGGCGGUUUUGUAAGUUUGGUGUGAAAUCUCCGGGCUUAACUGGGAGGGUGCGCCGAAAACUGGAAGGCUUGAGUAUGGGAGAGGUAAGCGGAAUUCCUGGUGUAGCGGUGAAAUGCGUAGAUAUCAGGAGGAACACCGGCGGUGUAGACGGCUUACUGGACCAUAACUGACGCUGAGGCACGAAAGCGUGGGGAGCAAACAGG